UCAAAAUUGGCCCAACAUGUAAAAGUGAGACAAAGGGUUGUAGCUACCGCAGUUACGUAUAUGAGACGAGUGUACACCAAGAAGAGUAUGUCUGAGUAUGAUCCACGUCUUGUAACCUGCCUGUACCUGGCAUCAAAAGCAGAAGAAAGCACAGUGCAAGCUAAACUUCUAGUAUUUUACAUAAGAAAGAAAGAUUUAUACCGAUGAUAAGUAUAGAUAUGAGAUCAGAGACAUACUUGAAAUGGAAAUGAAGAUUUUAGAAGCUCUCAACUAUUAUCUGGUUGAAUACCAUCCGUAUCGCUCAUUGUCUCAGUUGCUUCAGGAUGCAGGCUUAAACGAUAUAAGUAUGACUCAGUUAACUUGGGGAGUUGUAAAUGACACGUACAAGAUGGACCUUGCACUUGUACAUUGCUAGCGUGCUUACUCUUGAGGGAACUUCUGUACAAAUGGCUUGAAACUGGGGAAAAAAUAUAGUUGCGUUCGGUCCAGCAUGCGCACUGGCAAUGUCACUUGUAGAUUAUUGUAUAACGUGGUGAAAAACAUAUCAAUGGAGAUACUAGAUUUCUAAGAAAUCCACCGAACGAUCCCAGAUGAGAGGUUUAAUUCUGCUCUCAAUAAGCUUCCCUACAAAUCAUAGAUGGCCGGAGAAGGCUAACGCUACUGAGAAACCAUCGCCUUUCAAUGUAUGAAGAACUCUAUCAAUGGAUCUUUCACCCUACUGGAAGUGCAAUAAUGUUGUAUAAAUCAGAAAGAUUCCGUUGUAAGUAACCUAUCAUGUAAGAUUCUUCUUGGCCUGCUGCUUCUCUGUAAUUACAUUCACCAAGCACAAAAUCAUAUCGUAGAAGUCGGUGUUCUCGAGAUGCAAGGGAAGUGAUUUCCGCAAAAGGUUGUGUAGAAAUGAU